rnacentral:rRNA from 1 species
UACAGAGGCCUCGAGCGUUAGGCGGAAUCACUGGGCUUAAAGCGUGUGUAGGCGGACUUCUAAGCCCCUUGUGAAAUCCCACGGCUCACCCGUGGAACUGCUCGGUAUACUGGUCGUCUUGAGCCUUCUAGGGGCGAGUGGAACAAAUGGUGGAGCGGUGAAAUGCGUAGAUAUCAUUUGGAACGCCAAUGGUGAAAACAACUCGCUGGGGAAGUGCUGACGCUGAGACACGAAAGCCAGGGGAGCGAACGGG